GUCUGUGGCCACCCCACCCUGAAGGUGCCAAUCGCAUCUGAUCUCAGAAGCUAAGCAGGGUCAGGCCUCAUGAGAACUUGGAUGGAAGACAGAGGUGGAUGAGAAUUGAGAUAAGCAAAGCAGACU
rnacentral:rRNA from 1 species